rnacentral:ncRNA from 2 species
CGCUACCCGCGCCUGACCGGUCCCGAAAGGGCUAAGAGGGAAUCCGCGGUGCCUGCCGGCACCAAACGGAACUGCCCCCGCAACUGUAGGCGGCGAGUGCUGUGCCAGGACGUCACUGGGCCGAAACGGUCCGGGAAGACGGCACAGUCAUUGACCCGCCAGUCAGGAGACCUGCCGGUGAUAACCGAAACAC